UUCGUACAGUACCGUCAAACUUCUACACGUAGAAGCGUUUCUUCCUGUACAAAAGAAGUUUACAACGCGUAGCGCUGUCAUCCUUCACGCGGCAUGGCUGGUUCAGGCUUGCGCCCAU
rnacentral:rRNA from 1 species